rnacentral:rRNA from 1 species
UACGUAGGGUGCGAGCGUUAAUCGGAAUUACUGGGCGUAAAGUGUGCGCAGGCGGCCGCGCAAGUCGAGUGUGAAAGCCCCGGGCUUAACUUGGGAAUUGCGCUCGAAACUACGUGGCUGGAGUGUGGCAGAGGAAGGUGGAAUUCCAGGUGUAGCGGUGAAAUGCGUAGAGAUCUGGAGGAACACCGAUGGCGAAGGCGGCCUUCUGGGCCAACACUGACGCUGAUGCACGAAAGCGUGGGGAGCAAACAGG